CAUGUAGCUCAGUUGGUCAGAGCAUCGGAUUGUGGUUCCGAGGGUCGUGGGUUCGAACCCCACCCU
rnacentral:tRNA from 1 species